AUAGCUCCUUGGCCAUUUGGCUAAGAUGAAGUAUAGUAUCUGUUCUUAUCAGUUUAAUACCUGAUAUAUAAUGUAUCAGAGGAUAAUACAUUAAAUGGGUUUUUGCUACAGAGGAAAAAAUUUU
rnacentral:snRNA from 1 species